rnacentral:rRNA from 1 species
GACGAACGCUGGCGGCGUGCUUAACACAUGCAAGUCGAACGGAAAGGCCCUGCUUUUGUGGGGUGCUCGAGUGGCGAACGGGUGAGUAACACGUGAGUAACCUGCCCUUGACUUUGGGAUAACUUCAGGAAACUGGGGCUAAUACCGGAUAGGAGCUCCUGCUGCAUGGUGGGGGUUGGAAAGUUUCGGCGGUUGGGGAUGGACUCGCGGCUUAUCAGCUUGUUGGUGGGGUAGUGGCUUACCAAGGCUUUGACGGGUAGCCGGCCUGAGAGGGUGACCGGCCACAUUGGGCCUGGGCUACGGCCCAGACUCCUCCGGGAGGCAGCAGUGGGGAAUAUUGCACAAUGGGCGGAAGCCUGAUGCAGCAACGCCGCGUGCGGGAUGACGGCCUUCGGGUUGUAAACCGCUUUCGCCUGUGACGAAGCGUGAGUGACGGUAAUGGGUAAAGAAGCACCGGCUAACUACGUG